rnacentral:snoRNA from 1 species
GCAUGGUAAUGGAUUUAUGGCAGACUCUUCUUUGUGGGUCUCUUAUAGUGUACCCAUGCCAGAGUAAACUGCAACCUCAAACCAUUGCCCAGUCUCCUUAACCAUGGACUGUGAGCACUGAAGGGGGUUGCUCAGUA